rnacentral:rRNA from 1 species
UGGGGAAUAUUGCACAAUGGAGGGAACUCUGAUGCAGCGACGCCGCGUGAACGAAGAAGGCUUUCGAGUCGUAAAGUUCUUUUAUAUGGGAAGAUAAUGACGGUACCAUAAGAAAAAGCCCCGGCUAACUACGUGCCAGCAGCCGCGGUAAUACGUAGGGGGCUAGCGUUGUCCGGAAUCACUGGGCGUAAAGGGUUCGCAGGCGGAAAUGCAAGUCAGGUGUAAAAGGCAGUAGCUUAACUACUGUAAGCAUUUGAAACUGCAUAUCUUGAGAAGAGUAGAGGUAAGUGGAAUUUUUAGUGUAGCGGUGAAAUGCGUAGAUAUUAAAAAGAAUACCGGUGGCGAAGGCGGCUUACUGGGCUCAUUCUGACGCUGAGGAACGAAAGCGUGGGCAGCAAACAGG